GCUGCGAAUGCCGGUGGAAUUACAAGGCUAUGGACCUCGAGGUCGUGGGUUCGAUCCCCACCGGCUCUACUGCGGAGUGAGACCACUCUUAGGGCCGUAGCUCAGUGGAUAGAGCGCGCAACAUUUCAUCAAAACUUUGUCGCGGCGGC
rnacentral:Y_RNA from 1 species